rnacentral:rRNA from 1 species
CCUACGGGGUGCAGCAGUGAGGAAUAUUGGUCAAUGGACGGAAGUCUGAACCAGCCAUGCCGCGUGCAGGAAGACGGCUCUAUGAGUUGUAAACUGCUUUUAUACAAGGGUAAACCUGAAUACGUGUAUUCAGCUGAAAGUACUUUAUGAAUAAGGAUCGGCUAACUCCGUGCCAGCAGCCGCGGUAAUACGGAGGAUCCAAGCGUUAUCCGGAUUUAUUGGGUUUAAAGGGUUCGUAGGCGGAUUGAUAAGUUAGUUGUGAAAUGUCGGAGCUUAACCCGGGAAUUGCCUCUAAUACUGGUGGUCUAGAGAGUAGAUGAGGUAGGCGGAAUGUGUGGUGUAGCGGUGAAAUGCUUAGAGAUCAUACAGAACACCGAUUGCGAAGGCAGCUUACCAAUCUAUAUCUGACGUUGAGGCACGAAAGCGUGGGGAGCAAACAGGAUUAGAUACCCGGGUAGUC